GCAACUCGCCUACAUGAAGUCGGAAUUGCUAGUAAUCGCGGAUCAGCAUGCCGCGGUGAAUACGUUCCCGGGCCUUGUACACACCGCCCGUCACACCCAUGGGAGUCGGUAACACCCGAAGCCUGUAGUCUAACCGCAAGGGGGACGCAGUCGAAGGUGGGAUUGAUGACUGGGGUGAAGUCGUAACAAGGUAUC
rnacentral:rRNA from 1 species